GACGAACGCUGGCGGCGUGCUUAACACAUGCAAGUCGAACGAAGAGCGAUGGAAGCUUGCUUCUAUCAAUCUUAGUGGCGAACGGGUGAGUAACGCGUAAUCAACCUGCUCUUCAGAGGGGGACAACAGUUGGAAACGACUGCUAAUACCGCAUACGAUCUGACCUCGGCAUCGAGGAUAGAUGAAAGGUGGCCUCUACAUGUAAGCUAUUACUGAAGGAGGGGAUUGCGUCUGAUUGGCUAGCUGGGGGGGUAACGGCCCACCAAGGCGAGGAUCAGUAGCCGGUCGGAGAGGAUGAACGGCCACAUUGGGACGGAGACACGGCCCAGACUCCUACGGGAGGCAGCAGUGGGGAAUCUUCCGCAAUGGACGAAAGUCUGACGGAGCAACGCCGCGUGAGUGAUGACGGCCUUCGGGUUGUGAAGCUCGGUUAAUCGGGACGAAAGGCCUUUUUGCGAAUAGUGAGAAGGAUUGACGGUACCGGAAGAGAAAGCCACGGCUAACUACGUG
rnacentral:rRNA from 1 species